CCCACUGGGAACCUGUGCUUCCCCCUCACUGAGCCCUGCAUUUGGGGAAAGUUGUUCUGUUCACUGUGAAGAUUGCAGUCACUCUAAGGGCUUCAUGGUUCUCCCAGAGCAGGAAACUUUGGGAUGUGCGAAGGCCCCAGGCCCACUCAGACAUCAUGGAAGAGCAGGUGGCUACAUCACUUUACCAGCAUACAUGAAGACACGCUAUGUGCAGACACUUUUCUAGGCACUGAUCAUGAACCAAUGUCCACAGCAGAUCCAAUCACUGCCCUCUCAAGUUUCAGUGAUAUUUGGUGUCUACACAGUCACAAUCAGAGCAGGUAUUCCUCAAAUUACAGUAGAUGAAGCCCCUCCUUUCCUCCCUAGAUGUGGAUUCACAGCAGUGCAAAGGGAGUCCAGAGGAGGCACACAUAUUGGGCAACACGGCACUACAUACCCUAAAGCCUGAGGAGAGGCAGGGAAGCACAGACGCCUACUGUCCCUCACUUCUCAGAUAGUUAUGGAGCAGCAGCCCUGUGCCUUUGAGUACAAUCACACAGCAGAGACAACACUCUGUCCUCAGGGAGCUGACAGUGGGGACGGGCAGGGAGACACUGUGUGUGGCUGCCCUGAAGAAGGCAGAGGUGGUCACACCACUGAACAAAGACUCCUUCCCACUGAGCCUUCUGUCAGGCUCUCAGGGCUGCUUGGGCCAGGACUGCUCUACUGGGGGUGGGACAGGGUGGGGCCGGAGCAUGCGCAGACUGGGCAGGAGGCUCACUGGUCCUUCCCUGCAUGUUUGCUGGGCAGGUAGUGUGGGAGGAAAUGCCAGACCUCUCACUCUGCCUCCUACCUGCCUUCCUCAGCUCCACGUCCUCUUCCCUUGACUCCUUGCUGGAGCGGCACACCCAGGUAUACACUGUCACAUAUCUUCUGAACCAGGUGGAGCAAGAUGAGCUCACUGAGGCAGAGGCCAAGGGAGCAGCUCCAGUCCAAGCUGAAGUCCCACCUGCAGAGCCUGUGCCAGCUCCACCUGCAGCUGCCUCCCCAGCUCUGGCACCACAGCCAGAGCGAGCACCAGGAAGCCCUUCUCCUCCAGCUGGACAGCUGGGGCAAAUGGUGGCUCCUCAGCAGGUGUCAGCUCCUGACCUCCCCUUGGGGCAAGCUCCUGCCCCACACUGGCCAUUCCCCUCCAUUAUUGUUGCUCUUGUUUUUUCCUUGACUUUUGCACUUAUUUGCUGGAUUUAUGUCAAUGAUAGAUUGAUUUUUAAAUAAAAGGUAAGAUUUUACUGUUGCUUAACAUGAUCGGCUUGGUGGCAUGAAGUACCUUCUCAGUGCGGUGAACCUGACACCUCUGUCGAGGUCCAGGGCAUUUUCCUCAGUGCUGCACCCAUGAGUGGUUCCUCCUCUGACACCUGCUGCUAGUCCCUGGCCACCACUCAUCUUAUGUCCCCGUAAUUUACCUAUUCUACAUUUUUCACAUCAGUUCAAUCAGAUUUCUCCGUGUCCACAUAAUCCUGGAAGGGACUCAUGCAUGAAUCCUGCUUUCCGUAGAAGGGAAAAUCCUAGAUAUAUCCUCAACAUUUUUCAUUCACCUAUUGAAUAAAUUAUGCAGUUUUUUGUCAGACAAGAAAUAUUUAUUAAUUAGUGCAAUAUGAAUGAAGAAUAAAAGAAAGGACAUAGUCACAGUCAUCCCACCAGGAGCCUUGCCCCCCUCCCCAGUGCUUCCCCUUCCUGUCUACAUCUCAGGGUUCAGGCCGUGUCUUAGAUGCUGGGUGGGAAUGUGUCAGAACACAGCUCCCCUGUCAUCUCAUUUAUGCACUGGGGACAUGAUCCCGUCAUGCUCUAUCCCUUGGCACUUUCUGUGGCCACAAUGACACAGUUGACUCAGCAACCUCUGCUCCAGACAAUUUCCGGGUUUUCAUGCCCAUAACUGAGCCAAAAGGAACAGCUGUGUCUGUAAAUAUUAUUUUUCAGAUGGAAUCCUGCCAGUGGAAUUUCUGGGUCACAGUCACAGAAAUGGGGGCAGAGACAGACUCACAUCUGUGGGGUCUGCACUGUCCAAAGGCAGAACACUCAGGACCAGGGGCACAGAGCUCCCAAUGACCUCUGAGAAAUGCAGCUCUACAAGAAUCCAGGGGUCGGGGGGGACAGUCCAUGGGUAACAUUUGUCACAUCUCAGAGGCCAGAGGGAUAGGACAGCAAUGCCCCACCUCUCCUACAUGAAGAUGGACAAAAGUUCUCUAGAUCCUAUUUAAAUUUUAUUUUAAAAUAUUAAAUUUCAGAGCAUCCUGGAUAUCAGGGCCUGAAGGUUUCUAAGGAGGAUUAGUCCAGUCUUGCCAGUGGCUGGACACUGCAGAGUCCUCUUGACUGAAGGGCUUUAAAAAUCAAUAAUUUGUUUUUCAGUACUGGAGAUUGAGCCUAGAACCUUCUCACUGAACUACAUUACCAGCCCAUUUAAUUUUUGCUUUUAAUUUUGUCACAGAAUCUCACUAAGUAGCUGAGUUAUUCAGCAUCCUGGGCUUGAAUGUGUGAUCCUCCUGCCUCAGCUUCCCAGAAUACUGGCAUUACAGAUCUGCACCACCUUGUGAGCCUUCACUAAGCAGUUUUGAAAAUACAAACUCCAAAAUAGACUGCUCUGCCUAGGUAUCCACCUUUAGGGCUUGAUGCAGUUUGGUAUUUCUGGUGGGGUAGGUGUAGACUCCACCAGAUGGGUGCUUCUCCCUGAGAGGCCAGCGACUGACUGAGCUUGUGCCAGGUGAGAGACCAUCUUUUGAGGGCUGCCCAGACUAGGUGGUGACCACAGGUUCUGCCCUGACCUCCCUCCCCUACUGCCCUGAUGUGCAGAGACCCCACUUCUUUCUCAUCUUUGAGCACGGUCAGCUGGGCAGGAAGCAGGACAAGCCCGUCCCAGUGAGACCUGUCCUGCUCUAUCCCCAAGAAUCCUUCCCAAGGUGUGGGACCUGCGCACGGCCCCACGCCUAAGCCUGUGCCCAUGAAAGCUGUACAAACCAUCUUAUCAGUCACCCCACGUGGCCCACACAGUUCAUGACCUGCACUGGGCUGUCCUAGGCCACCUCUCUGAGUGCACACCCUCACCCCGUCCUGGCCAGAUGUUGCUAGGCUCUCACACUGUGCACUGCUACCCACUGCAGUUGCCAUAAAUAAAGGAUCAUCCAGACAGAGUUGGGACCCAAGGUGGCAAUGCCUGGGGACAGGGACCGUGUGCUCCAUAGAAUCAACUUUGAGAGCAAUCUGUGCUUUAUAAAUCCCACCACAAUGCACCCAGGUAUGGCCCAAUUUCCAUUUUUCAUACACAUUGAAUGUAUCAACUUCAGCAUGAAUUUAAUCAUUAUGG
rnacentral:lncRNA from 1 species